rnacentral:rRNA from 1 species
CGCGGCCUAUCAGCUUGUUGGUGGGGUAAUGGCCUACCAAGGCGACGACGGGUAGCCGGCCUGAGAGGGUGACCGGCCACACUGGGACUGAGACACGGCCCAGACUCCUACGGGAGGCAGCAGUGGGGAAUAUUGCACAAUGGGCGAAAGCCUGAUGCAGCGACGCCGCGUGAGGGAUGACGGCCUUCGGGUUGUAAACCUCUUUCAGCAGGGAAGAAGCGAAAGUGACGGUACCUGCAGAAGAAGCGCCGGCUAACUACGUGCCAGUAGCCGCGGUAAUACGUAGGGCGCGAGCGUUGUCCGGAAUUAUUGGGCGUAAAGAGCUCGUAGGCGGCUUGUCGCGUCUGCUGUGAAAGCCCGGGGCUCAACCCCGGGUCUGCAGUGGGUACGGGCAGACUAGAGUGCAGUAGGGGAGACUGGAAUUCCUGGUGUAGCGGUGAAAUGCGCAGAUAUCAGGAGGAACACCGAUGGCGAAGGCAGGUCUCUGGGCAUUAACUGACGCUGAGGAGCGAAAGCAUGGGGAGCGAACAGGAUUAGAUACCCUGGUAGUCCAUGCCGUAAACGUUGGGCACUAGGUGUGGGGGACAUUCCACGUUUUCCGCGCCGUAGCUAACGCAUUAAGUGCCCCGCCUGGGGAGUACGG